UUUUAAGUUUUCUUGCUUUUGUUCAUGCAACAUGGAAAUUAUGUUUCCAUUAUUAUUUAUGUUGUUAUUGUUGACAAUGAAUUGGAUAGUAGUUCUAAUUUGCUGUGAAGGAGGUGAUAGUGGUUAUUCCUCUGCUGUCGGAGAUCCGGGAAUGAGAAGAGAUGGACUCAGAGUAGGUUUAGAAGCUUGGAAUUUCUGUAAUGAAGUUGGUGAAGAAGCUACUGGAAUGGGUAGCCCUAGAGCUGCUGAUUGCUUUGAUAUUUCUGGGAGUUCAUUGAGUCACAAGGUAACUGAGUCUGAUAAUAAGCUUGGUGUUGGGAAGUCAUUUCCGGGGUUGAGUCUUAAGGCUAAGAACGAUCCUGAUUUGUAUGCUGCUGAGAAGGAAUUAUAUCUAGGUUCAUUGUGUGAAGUUGAUGAUACCCCAAGGCCAUGGCAAUUUUGGAUGAUAAUGUUGAAGAACGGAAACUACGACUCGAAAUCUGGUCUUUGUCCAGAGAAUGGGAAAAGAGUUCCCCCUUUUAAGCCGGGAAGAUUUCCGUGUUUUGGGAAGGGAUGUAUGAAUCAGCCUAUACUGUUUCAUCAGCCUACUUAUUUAUCUGAUGAUGAAACUAUGAUGGGAGGUUUUAAUGGUACUUAUGAUUUGGCUUCUACAGCUGGUAGUAGUAGUAGUAGUUCCUUUUUUGAGGUAGUUUGGGAGAAGAAAAUUGGCAAAGGGGGUUGGGUAUUUAAGCACAAACUCAGAACAUCCAAAUUGUAUCCAUGGCUGAUGUUGUAUCUUCGGGCUGAUGCGACUAAAGGGUUCUCUGGAGGCUACCACUAUGAUACCAGAGGAAUGUUAAAAAUUCUGCCAGAGUCACCUAAUUUUAAGGUCAAAUUGACCUUGGAUGUCAAGGUAGGCGGAGGACCCAAGAGUCAGUUUUACUUGAUAGAUAUUGGCAGUUGCUGGAAGAACAAUGGUGAUCCAUGUGAUG
rnacentral:misc_RNA from 1 species